CAGCACACGUACGUCUGGCCGACGUCGGCCCAAUAUCGAAACGUCGGCCUCACUACCUGAAACAUCUAAUAAACAUCGGCCAGGCGUAGGUCGAUAUAAUUCGGUCAGUGCUCUGUUUUCCAGCUCAUCAGUCGUCGGCCCUGAGUCGGUUCACGACCGCAGGCCGAUGCCGCGCUUUUCUGUUUGCUGCGAGCCCAGUUAUUCGUCUCUUAGCAACCCACAGAGAGAAGACACUCAUCCCGGCGACAUCUGUGCUUUCAGGUAAGAUUUAACUUCAGCUAAAUUACAAACAAAUACUACUUUGUUAAUUCUGUGACACUUAAAAGGUACUAGUUAGGCACAUUUGGUGUGCUACAGCACAGGUGAAGAGACUGUGGCUAAUUUCCAACUAACUUGUUUAGCUAACGGUCACGCUAGCGAUUUUUAAAAUUAAUAUUUAUGCCUUAAUGCGUUUCCAGCCAUUUCUCUGAGGGGAAAUGUUAAAGCGGAUUAUUAAAGAGAAGUCCUAACUGCUUUUUCGCCGUGUUUUUCACUCUUUUACAGGCUGCCAGAAAGAAUCCGUCUCUAUACGGUGAGCUAUUGUUGCUGUUGCUUUUUGAACUACAAAUUGAGUUUUAAGUUCAUUAUUGAAUAUUAAUUGAACGAGACUGUAAUUUAUUAAUGUAAUAUUUUAAUCCUAUAUGUUUAUUUGUGUAAAUGCUGUGUGCCCGUUGAGCUCUGCGCGAGCUGGGAGCAGAGUUGCCAUGGAAACGGGGCUUUGACUACUGGCGGACAGUAAUCUCCGUCUCUCGCUGCGGUUUUCACUGAUUUCAGGAGGACAGAAAGAAACUCUACAUAACAGAAGGGAAGCUCCAAGAUUUCAACAUUUCUGAAGGGAGCUACUGACUUAGAAAAAUACAGAUUGCUUGUUUCUUUCCUAGAUUCUUCAGUGGUGAUGGCCUGCUGCACCCAGCAGAGUUGGAGUGAACCUACUGUCAGACAGUGGCGCAUCGUGGGGUUUCAGUCAGGGCCUUCAAUUCUUCAGUGCUGAUGGCCUGCUGCACCCAGCAGAGUCAGUGUGAACUCCUGUAAGACAACAUCACCAAGAUGCUAUAAACCGCAGGAUUAGAUGCCCAUCCCGAGGUUACUAGAGAUGAAGCCAGCUCCAGUUUGGAUCCAAACUCACUUGUGAAGAUGCUAACGCUCACAAAGACUACAGAUGACAGCUACUGUACAUGGACACACAAAACACUGGACACACAAAACAAAUAUUAUCCUUAUAUUGCCUAUAAGGGUAAGUUUGACAAUUUUCAACCCGCUAUUGUAUUAUUGCAACGUCUGUAAUAUCUGUAAAUGAACAAUAUUUACUCUUUCUCUGAGUUAUAUGGACCCUAUUUGUCCCCUUUUAUUUGUAAGCAGCACUUCACAAGAUGACGCAAAAUGAAAUGAGUUUUGACAAAAUGACACAAACACUUUUGCAGCAUCUAAAUGAAAAAAUGCUGUUUUGCAUCAGUUUUGCUGACAAAUACACUGGGUAUCUUGGAGAAAGAAUAAACAUUGUUCGUUUACAUAUGUUACCAACAUUGUAACAAUACAAAAUGGACUGAAAAUUGUUGAACUUACCCUUUAAUAAUGUUGAAGGAUAAUGUUUAACUGAACACAAAAAUAGAGACUUUAAAUAAAAAUAUUUUAGAAUUUUUAUCAUGCUAUUUAAAAUUUAACUGCUUAUUUAUUGUUUGCCUGGUUUUUAAUUUGUGUUUAUGCAACUGUUGUAUUAUUGUAACUCAGUUUUUGCCAUGAAGAUAGCCUUCGAUGCUGACAGCACAGAACACAUGACUUGUUUUAUGAACUACUGUCAUAUGGACAUUAUUUUGUUGCCAGAAGAUGGUCUUCCCCAGUGAGUCUCCGUCACCUCUGGCUGAUUAAAGGAUGUUUUUAAAUUGUAACCUUGAAAUAUGCAUAUUCUGUAAACCUACUUUGAAAUGAUAAUGUCACAACUCACGGGGGAGCCCGGGAAUCAGGAACGAGGAGACGAGGAAUAGCAACACGGGAGUUUAAUAGGCAGGAACACAGAUCACAGGUAGGGUAGACACUUACGUAGACACUUAGGUUGACGUACAGGAUGUCUUUCAAAGACCGACAAACACUAACUGAAAGGACUGGGGUUUUAAAGACAGGACAAUCAAGGAACUAAAGGAGACACACCUGGAAUCAAAUUAACCAAUCAAGGGGAGACAGAAACUAGGUCACAGGGCACACAUGGGGAGCAAAACACACACAAGACAGUCCAGGGACGUGACAUUACUCCCCCCUCCCGGAAGGUGCGUCCUCGCACCGUGGAACAACAGAGGGGGGGGGGAAACGGGUGGGAACCAUGGCGGAGGCUCAGGAGGAGGACGGACCACCGGGAGGAGGUCGGCAGACAGAGACCAGGGAGGCAACGAAGGAGGGAGGAGCCAGGGAAGAGACAGGAGGGACCCGGAGCAGGAGGAGCCUGGCCGGACCCAGGCCACAGCCAUGAUGAUGGCCCACGGUGGAGCCGACGGAGGGAGGAGCCAUGGAGGAGGAAUGGCCUCCGACUCCAGGGGGCCGACCAACGGCGGCGGAGCAGGUGGUGGAGGAGCCCGAGGCGGAGACGGAGAGCCGACGAGCCAGGGGAAU